CACGUAGGCGGCUUUUUAAGUCAGGGGUGAAAUCCUGGAGCUUAACUCCAGAACUGCCUUUGAUACUGAGGAGCUAGAGUCCGGAAGAGGUGAGUGGAACUGCGAGUGUAGAGGUGAAAUUCGUAGAUAUUCGCAAGAACACCAGUGGCGAAGGCGGCUCACUGGUCCGGUACUGACGCUGAGGUGCGAAAGCGUGGGGAGCAAACA
rnacentral:rRNA from 1 species